UACGAGGGGGGCAAGCGUUGUUCGGAAUUAUUGGGCGUAAAGGGUGCGUAGGCGGUCUGAUAAGUCAUCUGUGAAAUCUAUGGGCUCAACCCCAUAGUCUGCAGGCGAAACUGUCGGGCUUGAGUAUGGGAGAGGUGAGGUGGAAUUUCCGGUGUAGCGGUGAAAUGCGUAGAUAUCGGAAGGAACACCUGUGGCGAAAGCAAGCUCACUGGACCAUUACUGACGCUGAUGCACGAAAGCUAGGGGAGCAAACAGG
rnacentral:rRNA from 1 species